AAUGAACGCUGGCGGCGUGCUUAACACAUGCAAGUCGAACGAGGCGGGAGGGGGCGAACUCCUCCCACGUCGAGUGGCGGACGGGUGAGUAACACGUGGGUAACCGUGCCCGGGUCGUGUGGAAUACCUCGGGGAAACGUCGAGCUAAUACCGCAUGACAUCUUCGAGACGUCGGUCUUGGAGAUCAAAGCGGGGCCGCAAGGCCUCGCG
rnacentral:rRNA from 1 species